rnacentral:other from 1 species
AUUUCCCUGCUAUGUACGUGAUGAGCAGAUAGACUUGAGCCAACACAGUUUGCCCGGGAACCUAACUUCAUACUGCCCGCGGGCGGAAAUGAGAAGGUACCCACUUAGUAGACCGGGUUCAAGCCUAUCACGCACGCACGGCAUCCGCGGGGAUUUC